UGGCGGACGGGUGAGUAAUGUCUGGGAAACUGCCCGAUGGAGGGGGAUAACUACUGGAAACGGUAGCUAAUACCGCAUAAUGUCUGCGGACCAAAGCGGGGGACCUCCGGGCCUCGCGCCAUCAGAUGAACCCAUAUGGGAUUAGCUUGUAGGUAAGGUAACGGCUUACCUAGGCGACGAUCCCUAGCUGGUCUGAGAGGAUGACCAGCCACACUGGAACUGAGACACGGUCCAG
rnacentral:rRNA from 1 species